GAAAUGCGAUAAGUAGUGUGAAUUGCAGAAUUCAGUGAAUCAUCGAAUCUUUGAACGCACAUUGCGCCCUUUGGUAUUCCUUAGGGCAUGCCUGUUCGAGCGUCAUCUAAACCUUCAAGCCCUGCUUGGUGUUGGGUGCCUGUCCCGCCUCCGCGCGCGGACUCACCUCAAAUCCAUUGGCGGCCCCCGCGUCGGCCACGAGCGCAGCAGAAACGCGAACUCGUGAGCCCGUCCGGGCGGCUCCCAGAAGCUACACCCACCCAGUUUGACCUCGGAUCAGGUAGGGAUACCCGCAGAACAUAAGC
rnacentral:misc_RNA from 1 species